rnacentral:rRNA from 1 species
AAUCUUCCACAAUGGGCGAAAGCCUGAUGGAGCGACGCCGCGUGAAGGAUGAAGGCCCUAGGGUCGUAAACUUCUAAAAGAGGGACGAUGAUGACGGUACCUCUUGAAAAGCACCGGCUAACUACGUGCCAGCAGCCGCGGUAAUACGUAGGGGGCAAGCGUUGUCCGGAAUUAUUGGGCGUAAAGGGUGCGUAGGCGGCCUUUUAAGUCAGGUGUGAAAGCCCACGGCUUAACCGUGGGAUUGCAUUUGAAACUGGAAGGCUUGAGUAUCGGAGAGGGUAGUGGAAUUCCCAGUGUAGCGGUGGAAUGCGUAGAUAUUGGGAGGAACACCAGUGGCGAAGGCGACUACCUGGACGAAAACUGACGCUGAGGCACGAAAGCUAGGGGAGCAAAC